UACGAAGGGGGCAAGCGUUGUUCGGAAUUACUGGGCGUAAAGGGCGCGUAGGCGGCUUAUCAAGUCCGGCGUGAAAUUCCCGGGCUCAACCUGGGGGCUGCGCUUGAUACUGAUGAGCUUGAAUGCGGGAGAGGAUAGUGGAAUUCCCAGUGUAGAGGUGAAAUUCGUAGAUAUUGGGAAGAACACCGGUGGCGAAGGCGGCUAUCUGGCCCGUAAUUGACGCUGAGGCGCGAAAGCGUGGGGAGCAAACAGG
rnacentral:rRNA from 1 species